AGAGGUAUGGCUCAGCAUAGAGCACUUGCUUAGUAAACAAGAGACUUGGAGUUCACACCCCAGUACCUCUA
rnacentral:tRNA from 1 species